rnacentral:rRNA from 1 species
CCUACGGGGGGCUGCAGCUAAGAAUAUUCCACAAUGGACGAAAGUCUGAUGGAGCGACGCCGCGUGGAUGAUGAAGGCCGAAAGGUUGUAAAAUCCUUUUACACUGGAGGAAUAAGCAGAGUAGGGAAUGACUCUGUGAUGACUGUACAGUUUGAAUAAGCAACGGCUAAUUACGUAAGUUGCGAGCGUUGUUCGGAAUUAUUGGGCGUAAAGGGCAUGUAGGCGGAUUUGCAAGCUUGAUGUGAAAUCCCGCAGCUUAACUGCGGAACUGCAUUGAGAACUGCAAGACUAGAGUUACUGAGGGGAAACUAGAAUUCCAAGUGUAGGGGUGAAAUCUGUAGAUAUUUGGAAGAAUACCAAUGGCGAAGGCAAGUUUCUGGCAGAUAACUGACGCUGAGGUGCGAAGGUGCGGGGAGCAAACAGGAUUAGAUACCCCAGUAGUC